AGAAUCAAUGAAGGAUAAUUAUCUAAAUCACUGUUAAUUCCACCAUAAUCCUACAUUACCCGCCAAAAAAUCCUAAAAAAUAUCCUACCCAUGCCAAGACAGAUUUCAACAUCCUUCUAUACUAUCUAGGCCUCAAUUCCACUUAUUUUCACAUGCUUCUACAUGUUUUCACAUGCUUCGUCACAUGCAACACAAUACUUUCACAUAGCGUCACAUGUUUCCUCAUACUUUCACAUGCUACACCAUGUAUAUUUCACCCCUUUCACAUGUUUUCAGGUGUUGUUUAGUUGUUUUUCCUAAAGCAUUUCACAUGCUAAAAAGGACCCACUUGAAAGAUAAGUUUGUCAUGUAGGUUAGGUUUAUUUUAUAAUAUAAGUUUGUCUUGUAAUAACCUCCUAGCCCUAUAUAAAGGAGUCCUUAUAGUAGUUGUAGGAUCAUCUUGUAGCCUUUGUAAAUCUUUUGUGAUAUAUUACA
rnacentral:lncRNA from 1 species